CAUUCACCACACAAAUACACAACCAUGAUUUUUCAACUAUAAAACCUGAUCACUAGAAUUUCUUGAAAAAAAAAAUCUCAAUCAAGAAAAUGAUGACUUAUUGGUGGUGAAGUCCAUCGGGGGCAACAUGAGAACAUAUAAUUGAUGCAUCGUCAACUUACAUGUUCUCAGGUCGCCCCUGCAGGAUUUCCAUCCACUCAUUCUCGAGAUCACCAGGCGCCCAGUCCAUUUUCUCCGUGCUAACCUCGGCUUCUCUUUUACCAUUACUCUCCUUGCUGCUAACUUCUUUGAUUCCCGACACUGUAACGACUUCCCCGUGACUCUCAACGCGGUCAAGGGCCGGAAGCUUACCUGAAAAACCGAUCGUAUGGGACAGCAUCCCAAUGGGACACGGAGUCCAUGAUUUGGCAACACUCCAUCUCCUCUUGGUUCCGACCUUACCAAGAUCCGGUUGUUCGUGUCUCCUCAGCAUCCGUUGUUCUUUGAUUGACUCGAGCUUCUCUCUGGCUUCAAGUAUGGAGUACUCUUGUUGAGAAAGAAAGGUGUGAUCUUCAAGGCUGGUGGAGUUUGCUUCUAAAACCGCCGGCUGCUCUAGUAAAGCAAGCUUCUUGAGUUUCUGGAUUAGGGAGCUCCCUCCGGCCAGUUGUGCUAGGGUGACGGCUGAAGCUGCGAGCUGCUUGUUACUGGGCAUGGAGGCCAAGAGGCAUCUCUGCAAUAAUCCUAAAACGGUUGCUCUUGGGAGAUUUUUCUCCCUCUUGGAGGCUUUGGUUUCUGCAGAUUCCUUUGAACCAGCAGGUUUCAGUGUCUUCAGAUUUUCAACGAGCCAUUCAAAUAAAUACGAAAGCAGUUCAGAUCGACGAGAUUUUGCAGAGUCCACAGGAGAUUGAUGGUCACCUAAUGAAGAUACACAACAGAUUAGUUCUAUGGUGAAUGAAUGUACAUAUAAUAGUAUUAUUUGGUGAAUGGAUAUAUGUAAACGUAAAUCUACUUUGAGAUGCACGAGAAAAAUUCAACACGGUUGUAUUACCUGUUUCACA